UACGUAGGGUGCAAGCGUUUGUCCGGAAUUAUUGGGCGUAAAGAGCUCGUAGGCGGUUUGUCGCGUCUGCUGUGAAAAACCCGAGGCUCAACCUCGGGCCUGCAGUGGGUACGGGCAGACUAGAGUGCGGUAGGGGGAGAUUGGAAUUCCUGGUGUAGCGGUGGAAUGCGCAGAUAUCAGGAGGAACACCAAUGGCGAAGGCAGAUCUCUGGGCCGUAACUGACGCUGAGGAGCGAAAGCAUGGGGGAGCGAACAGG
rnacentral:rRNA from 1 species